rnacentral:lncRNA from 1 species
AGAAACUGUGUCUUUAAAGAUUUUUUCUUUUUUUAAGAGAGAGAGUUUCGCUCUUGUCGCCCAGGCUGGAGUGCAAUGGUGUGAUCUCGGCUCACUGCAACUUCUGCCUCCCGGCUUCAAACGAUUCUCCUGCCUCAGCCUCCCGAGUACCUAGGAUUACGGGCAGCCUGCUACCAUGCCCAGCUAAUUUUUGUAUUUUUAGUAGAGAAAGGUUUCAUCAUAUUGGCUAGGCUGGUCUCAAACUCCUGAUCUCAGGUGAUCCACCCGCCUCAGCCUCCCAAACGGCUGGGAUUACAGGCAAGAGCCACCACACCUGGCCUUUAAAGGGCUUUUUAAAAAAAGGUUAAAUGUUUUUCACCAGUGCUCAAUGAGAAACACAAACAUGAUUACAUUGUUUGGAGUGGCUGAAUUACUUGAUCAAAAUUUAAAAAAAAAGGUAUUUUCCCUAAGUGGUUUUUGCUUAGUACAGCACCUUUUUUUCCCCUCAGUUUUCAUGUCCUGAAUUAUUUCUGCAUCAUUAAGUUUAGCUGAGGAGCCAAAAUUCUGUCAUUGUGGGGGGAUUGCUGAGGUGUCACAUCGACAAAGGGAGGUACUUAGAAUAAGAUGUCAUUUUGGUCUGUUCUUGAGUGUUACUCCAAGAAGUUAUGUGAGCAGAGAAACACUAAUCCUGUGGGCCAUCUGUCUUUCCCAUCAUGUGGCAGAACCCCCAUGCAGAAUCUCUAGUCAAGGUUGGACCAUGGCUGCAUUUCAUUACAUCUGAAAAGAGUCCCCGGUAGUUAUGUGAUUUUUACCUCACAGAUUGCUCAGAAUCACAUAAAGCCUCAACAAAUAUUUCCUCACAGAUUUAUUCUAGCCCUGGUCAAAAGUGUGAAGUAGGACAUUUUCUUCAAGUGUAUUUUUUUUUCUGUCUUAUUGAAACACUUUCAAUACUGUUAGCGUGACUUUGUGUCCCAUCCGUCCAAUAUUUGCUGUACUCACAGCUGUUACCUCUGCAGGAAAUCUUUGCAAACUAGAGUCUUCAUUCUUUCAUGGUUCUAGGCAGUAAGCUUAGAAGGGACAGUGGAGCUGUAACACUCACUGUUUCAUAAGUUUUUAAACUUAUGCUGUAAAAGUCUCUGAUACAUGCAAGAUCAGAGAAAAUGUAGAACAAAGGAGGCAUAUAGAUGAGGUGAGGAUACUGGGAAGAUAAUAAAUUUGCACAGAAGGGAAGGGAGUUUAUAAAAUGUGGGAAGAGUCAGGAAAGGCUGGCAGGAGGUGAACCGGGGUGUAAGAAGGAUGUGUACAAUAUGUAGGUAGAGAAGAUAUGUCAUGAGGCCUCGCAAUGCCCUCAUUACCAUUAUGGUUAGGUAGUUGCCAACACAUGUUUUCGGAGCACCUACUGUGUGCCAAACAUUAUUCUGGUGCUCAGGGUAUGGCAGUAAAUGAGCCUAGCAGAAUUUCUGUCUUCAAGGAGCUAACAUUCUAUUCUAGUAAAAAAGUUCUCUUGCCCUUGCUAAGUUUGAAAUGCCUGUUUAUGGCAAAGGAGUAGAAAUGGUAGAUGCUUUAUAUAAAAAUAUAUGAUUUGUCUUGGCAAAGCAUCCUUGAGGAGAGAUUAGUACAGUGCAAAAAAGUAUUGAGUAACAUUCUCCCCGUUUCCACCUUUCUGUCAGGUCAUAGAUAUAAAUUACAAUUCUGGCCCUCAUUCACCCUCACAUAGCUUUCUGGCAUCCUUUCCCAUUCUCUGAACAUGAGAGGAAUGAGAAGGUUAUUUGGAAGGUCGCUGAUCUUAGGAGUUGUCCUGCUACAGUUACCGGAGAAUCUUGAAUUUCAUCUGAAAAGACUGCAAGGCAGUCGGGGCAAGCAUGCUAUGAGAAGUCAACUGGUAAGCAGACCCCAGAGAUGAGAAGCAUAUGGGAAGCCAACCCCAUGAUUUGCUUCCUUAAAAAGUAUGGGCUGUGGAUGGAUUUUAAAUCCUACUCUAAAUACAAGACUGGUGUUAGCGGUCUACCCAAAUAAUGAGGAAAAUGUUGAUGCUUCUCUCAGCCUCAGGACCUUAAAGCCACACUGUUCCUAACCACGCUUGCCUAUAUGGCACUUAGCACUUUACACAAAAAACAAACAGAGGUGUUUAUUCCCUGGCAGUUAAUAUAAAUGCUUUCUGUUUUGUAAAAUAGGAACAGUAUUUGAUUCCAUUAUCACAGAUCUCUUGUGGACAAGUCAAAAUUCUUCAAUUAAGGUUAUAUCUAGUUAAAGGAAUUUUUCUCUUUGGUCUACAUCCCCACCCUGAAUGUCCUUGCCUGUUAGUUCCUUGCAGGUGAAAGGUAAAAAACCUUUGCAACUUCAUGCUAUAAUUGUGCCUUUGAAUUUUCAGAGGAAAAGACAGUGAGAGAGCAAGAGCAGAUUGAGAAGCAGAAGAGUGAGUCGCAAAAAGAGAAAAUGACAGAAAUGGAGCACCCUGGUGAGUCCCAACCACAUCCAUUCUUGAUGAUAACAACCAAAGCUCAGAAAAUGAUUUCUUACAGAAUGUUGUAUCAAAAGGAGCAUAUUGUAUGUGCAAAGUUGCUGCAGCUUUCCUAAGUUGGCUUCAAACUAUCCAACUAUGAUGUUAACAUAUUACCUUCAGCCAGUAUGAUACACAUAUUGGAAUGUUUUGUAUCAUUGACUACUUUUCCUGUGUCUGUCCACUCUACUGUUUCAAACCCCUGGUACUGGGACAGUGAUUGAACCCAGGUAUUCUUGUCAAUAAUAGUUGGAGGGGCUUAGCAAUAGAUCAAGGUAUAGAAGAAUUAAACCUGCUAUAGCUUGAUCUACUUUGAGAUUAGAGUGUACAGGGUCCUCUCCAACCUGACACACUUGGCCCUUUUCUGACAUAGGUUUAGUAAGUUUUGUGUGCAUUUGUAGAUAUUUUUUCAUUCCUAGGGGUUUGGCUUCAUUGAGAUGUGAGUUGUGGAGCCAAAAUACCAGAGAGGGUAUCAUAAAAUAUGCUUGAACUUGGGUUAAUUCCUCUUGGACUGAAUUGUAGUGCCAUAAACCAAGCUUUUCAAAAAGAUUGGAUGCAAAACUAUUAUGGCAACAGGAAUUUUUAUCAACAUAAAGCAGGAUUUAAUGCAGGUAUAUAGUAUAUAGAGUCAAAAAGGAUUAUAAGAUUUAUAAUGAAAAACAGCAGUACUCUACUUCUCCAUUUGCUAUCCCCAACUCUCGAUGUGCAGAUACCAAUUUCAACUUGUUUAGCUAUUUCUUCUGGCAUCUAAUUCCAAAUGGCUAAAUAACAUGUUUAUACUAAUUUCUUAUAUAUGUG